GAUGCAUUAAGCUAGUUAAUUUUCAUUACAAUUCAUUUCAUGUAUUUACUUUUUAAAAAUGUGACUGUUAGAAUUUUAAAAUCACAUACAAAGGGAUUUGAAAAGGCUCAUGGAAAAAUGAGUGAAAAGAGAAGUUUACUUUAGUUCAAAAAAACUUUGCAAUGCACACACAGUAUUUUCAACAUGUAUUUUCCAUGACCACUUUGAUGAUUUCACAUAUGGCUUCCAUCUGUCGUUCACGUUUUGUUUCUGUUAGACAGCCCUGUUUUAGAGCACCAAAACGCCAUACUCUUCUGGCAUUGUUCAAAGAGGGUUCACACUUGGCUUGUACUUACCCAGAACCUCCUUGGCUGUGCAGAAAGAAUCACCUCAAAGCAUUAGAGCAACACAGUAAGAAAAGGAAGUUGGGAGGAUAGGGAACAGCACUGAAUUCAGGGAGCAGAAAUGCCAGGUCCAACAUUAAGAAAUUGCUGGUUGAAUGAUUUCUAGUAAAAUAUUUUUUAGUGUUUGCGCUCUUCUAAAGCACGAACUAUUUUUUGUACAGAUUGUUUUAAUACAUUCUUUAUACAAUGUCAUUUUGAGCAAGGUAUAUCCCACUGGCAACUCCUAGCUGGUUUUCCCUGAAUAAAUAUUGCUGAUUUGUUAUAUGAGGGAAUGCCCCUCCACUGACGUGAUAAUUACUGCUUUAUUCUAAUCCCAUUUAAGAGUCUCCAUGAUGGUUCACAUGCAAGGAAUACAUUUCAGAGCAGAGGUGAUUUCAGCUCUCCAAGUUAUCUUUCAGAUAAUAUUUAUGAUCACAGCAACCAGGCUGAUCCUAACUGAUCCAUAUGAAAAAGUCACUUUUAUUAGCAGAGAGAAGUUACACAUUCUCUUGUUGAAGUUGGGUGAUUAGCUUAUUCCCUGGGAAACAUAGUACAUUUGUGCUUUCUCCCUUAUCACUAAAGAUCAUUUGUUGCUUGUGAUUAUUCAUUCUGCCACAAAGUAUGAAAAGCAAUUAUAGCAUUUGUCAACAGAGUAGCUCUGUGGAAGGCAGAGGAAAUAGCUAAGUUGGGACUGAAGACUCUCUUUAUAAUAAUCAGAAUAGAUGACAGAAGGAAAAAGAAUGGGAAUGUAAAAAAAUCCCUCAGAAUCAGUAAAAAGUAGAGGUUCUUUUAGUCACUGAGAGUUUCAAAAGGUCGUAUUGGGACAAGGUUGUGAAAGCUUCUACUUUUAUAUUUUACCAAUGAUUAAGGACAGACAAUUUAACAUCUGGACCAGUAAUUAGCUAGUAGUAAAUCCUCUAUCAAUGUUUGUUGAAUAAAUGAGAAAAUUCAUGACCUAUAUUUCUAUUUGAAAGCCACAUCAUUUAUUAGCAUAAGAUGCUGUGGUGUAAGUGUUAUGGCUAUUUUAUCAAGACAGCCCUUUGUCUUUUGUUCUUGCCACUAUAGAUCACUAUGGAUGAUCUUUCCUUUCCCAAGCCAAAAAUGUGGCCACUGCUUGCAGGUUGUUUUUUUUGUUUGUUUGUUUUUCCUGUUUUGCUUUGUUUUUUGUUGUCUACAUGGCUUUUGUGCUGCAGCAAGAAGCAGAAGUUACCAGACUGCAGAAAAUAAGUCCUUUGUGACUUGUUUGCAAUUGGUAAGGCUCAGUGAGAAUUUUGCAGGAAGUAAGAGUAAAGGAGGUAAGAGCUUGGAGUUGAACAGGUGUUAGCUGUGACACUCAAAGGCAGAAGAA